rnacentral:rRNA from 1 species
UACGAGGGGGGCGAGCGUUGUUCGGAAUUAUUGGGCGUAAAGGGUGCGUAGGCGGUUCCGCAAGUCCUGUGUGAAAUCUUCGGGCUCAACUCGAAGUCUGCACGGGAAACUGCGGGGCUUGAGUGUGGGAGAGGUGAGUGGAAUUCCCGGUGUAGCGGUGAAAUGCGCAGAGAUCGGGAGGAACACCCGUAGCGAAGGCGGCACUCUGGGCCGGUACUGACGCUGAGGAGCGAAAGCGUGGGGAGCAAACAGG